rnacentral:rRNA from 1 species
UACAGAGGUCCCAAGCGUUGUUCGGAUUCACUGGGCGUAAAGGGUGCGUAGGUGGUUAGGUAAGUCCGAUGUGAAAUCUCCCGGCUCAACUGGGAGGGUGGUCGCGAGACGGCAGGGCUUGAGGCUCGGUGAGGGGCGUGGAAUUCCGGGUGGAGCGGUGAAAUGCGUAGAGAUCCGGAGGAACACCAACGGCGUAGGCAGCGCCCUAGACGAGACCUGACGCUCAGGCACGAAAGCGCGGGGAGCGAACAGG